rnacentral:misc_RNA from 1 species
GAACAUUGCAAAAGCGACUUGAUCGAUUUGUAUGCAAUCUGCGUGAUUUCAGAAUAAGUGAAAUUGAGAUGAUUGGUAUGGAAGCAAUACCAGGUUUAUCACAUAUCAAGGAGAAGAAAGUGAGGAAAGAAGUAAUGAUGUUGAAGCUUCCUAUUUUUCCUAGUGAUCAUUAUGGCUUGCUUUUAACAAUUUCUGGUCGGUAAUGUUGAUAGAGGUUGUGGUUUGUAUGAACGUCCUCGGAUGGAGAUGAUAUAUAACCUCUUUAAUUACUUGAAGUUUGAAUCAAGUUUCUCUCAUCAUUGUUAAGAUCAUUUAUAGAUUAU